AGCGAACGCUGGCGGCAGGCUUAACACAUGCAAGUCGAGCGGGCCCUUCGGGGUCAGCGGCAGACGGGUGAGUAACGCGUGGGAACGUGCCCUUCGGUUCGGAAUAACUCAGGGAAACUUGAGCUAAUACCGGAUACGCCCUUAUGGGGAAUGGUUUACUGCCGAAGGAUCGGCCCGCGUCUGAUUAGCUAGUUGGUGAGGUUAUGGCUCACCAAGGCGACGAUCAGUAGCUGGUCUGAGAGGAUGGUCAGCCACACUGGGACUGAGACACGGCCCAGACUCCUACGGGAGGCAGCAGUGGGGAAUAUUGGACAAUGGGGGCAACCCUGAUCCAGCCAUGCCGCGUGAGUGAUGACGGCCUUAGGGUUGUAAAGCUCUUUUCUCCGGGACGAUAAUGACGGUACCGGAGGAAUAAGCCCCGGCUAACUUCGUG
rnacentral:rRNA from 1 species